CUUGAUCGAGCCGAGCCACAGCGGGCGGUCCUCCGAGCGGUCCCGGCCGUACGUGGCGAGCAGCGCCUGCGCCUC
rnacentral:antisense_RNA from 1 species